rnacentral:rRNA from 1 species
UGGGGAAUAUUGGACAAUGGGCGCAAGCCUGAUCCAGCCACGCCGCGUGAGUGAUGAAGGCCUUCGGGUCGUAAAGCUCUGUGGGGAGGGACGAACCGCCGGCGGUGCAUAGCCGACGGCAUGACGGUACCUCCUUAGCAAGCACCGGCUAACUUCGUGCCAGCAGCCGCGGUAAUACGAAGGGUGCAAACGUUGCUCGGAAUCAUUGGGCGUAAAGCGCACGUAGGCGGCUUGCCAAGUCGGACGUGAAAUCCCUCAGCUCAACUGAGGACGUGCAUCCGAAACUGGCGAGCUUGAGUACUGAAGAGGAUCGCGGAAUUCCCGGUGUAGAGGUGAAAUUCGUAGAUAUCGGGAGGAACACCAGUGGCGAAGGCGGCGAUCUGGGCAGAUACUGACGCUG